AGCAGUAUGGUGUAUCGAAGCACACGGAGUCAAUAUAGGAAGACGCGGGCGACGAAGAACUUUCACCCCGAGGUCCUUGUUCGAAUCAAGGUGCUGCUC